rnacentral:rRNA from 1 species
ACGCUGGCGGCAAGCCUAACACAUGCAAGUCGAGCGGUAGCAUUAGAGGUAUUUUCUCUAGAUGACAAGCGGCGGACGGGUGAGUAAUAUCUGGGAAACUGCCUAAUGAUGGGGGAUAACUAUUGGAAACGGUAGCUAAUACCGCAUAAUGUCGAAAGACCAAAGUGGGGUUUUUUAUAAUUUCAUGUCAUUAGAUGUGCCCAGACGGGAUUAGCUAGUAGGUGAGAUAAUAGCUCACCUAGGCUACGAUCCCUAGCUGGUCUGAGAGGAUGACCAGCCACACUGGAACUGAGACACGGUCCAGACUCCUACGGGAGGCAGCAGUGGGGAAUAUUGCACAAUGGGCGAAAGCCUGAUGCAGCUAUGCCGCGUGUGUGAAGAAGGCCUUCGGGUUGUAAAGCACUUUCAGCGAGGAGGAAGUUUAAUUUUUUAAUAAAAGAUUAAAUUGACGUUACUUGCAAAAGAAGCACCGGCUAACUCCGUGCCAGCAGCCGCGGUAAUACGGAGGGUGCAAGCGUUAAUCGGAAUUACUGGGCGUAAAGAGCACGUAGGCGGUUUGUUAAGUCAGGUGUGAAAUCCCUACGCUUAACGUAGGAAUGGCGUUUGAAACUAUCAAACUAGAGUUUUGUAGAGGGGGGUAGAAUUCCAGGUGUAGCGGUGAAAUGCGUAGAGAUCUGGAGGAAUACCAGUGGCGAAGGCGACCCUCUGGACAAAGACUGACGCUCAGGUGCGAAAGCGUGGGUAGCAAACAGGAUUAGAUACCCUGGUAGUCCAUGCUGUAAACGAUGUCGAUUUGGAGGUUGUGCCCUUGAGGUGUGGCUUCCGGAGCUAACGCGUUAAAUCGACCGCCUGGGGAGUACGACCGCAAGGUUAAAACUCAAAUGAAUUGACGGGGGCCCGCACAAGCGGUGGAGCAUGUGGUUUAAUUCGAUGCAACGCGAAAAACCUUACCUACUCUUGACAUCCAGAGAACUUUUUAGAGAUAGAAAGGUGCUUUAUUGAACUCUGAGACAGGUGCUGCAUGGCUGUCGUCGGCUCGUGUUGUGAAAUGUUGGGUUAAGUCCCGCAACGAGCGCAACCCUUAUCCUUUGUUGCCAGCGACUAGGUCGGGAACUCAAAGGAGACUGCCGGUGAUAAACCGGAGGAAGGUGGGGAUGACGUCAAGUCAUCAUGGCCCUUACGAGUAGGGCUACACACGUGCUACAAUGGCAUAUACAAAGAGAAGCAACCUUGUAAGAGCAAGCGGACCUCAUAAAGUAUGUCGUAGUCCGGAUUGGAGUCUGCAACUCGACUCCAUGAAGUCGGAAUCGCUAGUAAUCGUAGAUCAGAAUGCUACGGUGAAUACGUUCCCGGGCCUUGUACACACCGCCCGUCACACCAUGGGAGUGGGUUGCAAAAGAAGCAGGUAUCCUAACCUUAUUUAUAAGGAAGGCGCUUACCACUUUGUGAUUCAU